UCAGCAGCCGCGGUAACACGUAGGGGACGAGCGUUGUCCGGAUUCAUUGGGCGUAAAGCGCGCGUAGGCGGCCCGGAAAGUCGGUUGUGAAAUCCCGGGGCUCAACCCCGGGACUGCGUCCGAUACUUCCGAGCUCGAGGCAGGUAGGGGAGAUCGGAAUUCCUGGUGUAGCGGUGAAAUGCGCAGAUAUCAGGAGGAACACCGGUGGCGAAGGCGGAUCUCUGGGCCUUGCCUGACGCUGAGGCGCGAAAGCUAGGGGAGCGAACAGGAUUAGAUACCCUGGUAGUCCUAGCCGUAAACGUUGGGUGCUAGGUGUGGGCGGAUAUCGACCCCGUCCGUGCCGAAGCUAACGCAUUAAGCACCCCGCCUGGGGAGUACGGCCGCAAGGCUAAAACUCAAAGGAAUUGACGGGGGCCCGCACAAGU
rnacentral:rRNA from 1 species